AGAUUAUCCAUGUACCCAGCAACAUCCGUGGAACUAAUAGAUCAGCUGUUCCGGGAAGCGAGAACGGAGAUACAAAAUAGGAGGGGACACGAACUUGAACUGGCAAGAGCUAGACAACCCAUUGCACAUGCAGUUCAUACUCCCCAACCCGCUGCUACAGGGCAGAAAAUACCAUUCACUGCGUUCAAAGCGUUUGUGGAAAGUGAGGAAGAGAUUGACG